rnacentral:lncRNA from 13 species
AGUUAAGGGUCAUCUAAUUCCACUCUCUUACUUUUUUUUUUUUUUACGAAGAAAUAAAGGUUCAGAGAGGAGAAAUGAUUUGUUUGUAGUCAUACAAGUAACUGGUAGUGUGAAGGCUGGUAGUCUUUCCCAAUUCAUUGACAAAUUACUUAAUAAAAAUCAAGUGUAAGGUUUCAACGCAGCUAAACUUGGUCUCUUUUGCUGUGUGUCGGUGUAGAGUUUAAAAUAAUCCUACCGUUCUCAGAUUCUCUGCUGAUGAAAGCUUUGGAAUUGAAUGUGAUCAUUAACAGGCAUUAUAUAAAGACCAGAGACAGAAAAAUUCUGCCGAGGAUGAUGUGAAAAGGCUUCAAGGAAAAUGCAGGAUUUGAGCUGGACCUUAAAGGAUGGCUUUGUAAGCAGAGAUGCUGCAGAAAGCUUCUGGGCAGAAGCGAUUGUGAUGACAAAAGAAAUAGCUUAUCAGAGAAAGAAGAGAUCCUGCCCAACACGGCC